rnacentral:rRNA from 1 species
CCUACGGGAGGCAGCAGUGGGGAAUAUUGCACAAUGGGGGAAACCCUGAUGCAGCGACGCCGCGUGAGUGAAGAAGUAAUUCGUUAUGUAAAGCUCUAUCAGCAGGGAAGAAAAUGACGGUACCUGAGUAAGAAACCCCGGCUAACUACGUGCCAGCAGCCGCGGUAAUACGUAGGGGGCAAGCGUUAUCCGGAUUUACUGGGUGGAAAGGGAGCGUAGACGGCAGGGCAAGUCUGGAGUGAAAGGCGGGGGCUCAACCCCCGGACUGCUCUGGAAACUGUACGGCUGGAGUGCAGGAGAGGUAAGUGGAAUUCCUAGUGUAGCGGUGAAAUGCGUAGAUAUUAGGAGGAACACCAGUGGCGAAGGCGGCUUACUGGACUGUAACUGACGUUGAGGCUCGAAAGCGUGGGGAGCAAACAGGAUUAGAUACCCCAGUAGUC